UACGUAGGGUGCGAGCGUUGCCCGGAUUUAUUGGGCGUAAAGGGCGCGUAGGCGGCCACGCACGUCCGUUGUGAAAUCGCCCCGGCUCAACUGGGCGGGGUCAGCGGAUACGGUGUGGCUCGAGCAAGCUAGGGGGCAAUGGAAUUCCCGGUGUAGUGGUGGAAUGCGUAGAUAUCGGGAGGAACACCAGUGGCGAAGGCGGUUGCCUGGAGCUU
rnacentral:rRNA from 1 species